CCUACGGGCGGCUGCAGUGGGGAAUAUUGGACAAUGGGCGAAAGCCUGAUCCAGCCAUGCCGCGUGUGUGAAGAAGGCCUUCGGGUUGUAAAGCACUUUCAGUGGGGAAGAAAGCCUUGGGGCUAAUACCCUCGAGGAAGGACAUCACCCACAGAAGAAGCACCGGCUAACUCCGUGCCAGCAGCCGCGGUAAUACGGAGGGUGCGAGCGUUAAUCGGAAUUACUGGGCGUAAAGCGCGCGUAGGCGGUCUGAUAAGCCGGUUGUGAAAGCCCCGGGCUCAACCUGGGAACGGCAUCCGGAACUGUCAGGCUAGAGUGCAGGAGAGGAAGGUAGAAUUCCCGGUGUAGCGGUGAAAUGCGGAGAGAUCGGGAGGAAUACCAGUGGCGAAGGCGGCCUUCUGGACUGACACUGACGCUGAGGUGCGAAAGCGUGGGUAGCAAACAGGAUUAGAUACCCGAGUAGUC
rnacentral:rRNA from 1 species